rnacentral:rRNA from 1 species
AACGAACGCUGGCGGCAGGCUUAACACAUGCAAGUCGAACGGUUGUAGCAAUACAGCAGUGGCGCACGGGUGAGUAACGCGUGGAUAUCUGCCUUUUGGUUCGGAAUAACUCCGGGAAACUGGAGCUAAUACCGGAUGGUUCCUGCGGAAUAAAGAUUUAUCGCCAAAAGAUGAGUCCGCGUACGAUUAGCUAGUUGGUGAGGUAAUGGCUCACCAAGGCGACGAUCGUUAGCUGGUCUGAGAGGACGAUCAGCCACACUGGGACUGAGACACGGCCCAGACUCCUACGGGAGGCAGCAGUGGGGAAUAUUGGACAAUGGGGGCAACCCUGAUCCAGCCAUGCCGCGUGAGUGAUGAAGGCC